rnacentral:lncRNA from 1 species
CUUGAUUUCCUGGGAGCAGAUUCCGAAAUAGCAGAAUUUUUGGUUGGGUGAGGUGGGGUCAUGCUGUGCUCCCCAGGCUGGCCCAGGGCUCCUCUGGCAGAGAAAGAGGGACAACAAGGGCACCACCACACCUAGCCAUGUGUCAUUUGAAUCAAUGAGUGCUGAGGUCAAACUACCUGAUUUCUCCGGCUUCUUUGAAGCUCAGUGUGGACAUGUGACAUAGCUUUGGCCAACAAAACGGGAUGAGAAGUCUAUAGAGGAUCUC